rnacentral:rRNA from 1 species
AACACGUGGGGAACCUGCCCCAUAGUCUGGGAUACCACUUGGAAACAGGUGCUAAUACCGGAUAAGAAAGCGGAUCGCAUGAUCAGCUUUUAAAAGGCGGCGUAAGCUGUCGCUAUGGGAUGGCCCCGCGGUGCAUUAGCUAGUUGGUAAGGUAAAAGGCUUACCAAGGCGAUGAUGCAUAGCCGAGUUGAGAGACUGAUCGGCCACAUUGGGACUGAGACACGGCCCAAACUCCUACGGGAGGCAGCAGCC